rnacentral:rRNA from 1 species
CUACGGGCCGCACCAGUGAGGAAUAUUGCGCAAUGGGGGCAACCCUGACGCAGCGACGCCGCGUGGAUGAUGAAGGCCUUCGGGUCGUAAAAUCCUGUCAGAUGGAAAGAAGUGCGAGGUGGUUAAUACCCAUUUCGUUUGACGGUACCAUCAGAGGAAGCACCGGCUAACUCCGUGCCAGCAGCCGCGGUAAUACGGAGGGUGCAAGCGUUGUUCGGAAUUACUGGGCGUAAAGCGCGCGUAGGCGGUUUGUUAAGUCAGAUGUGAAAGCCCACGGCUCAACCGUGGACGUGCAUUUGAAACUGGCAGACUUGAGUAUUGGAGGGGGUGGUGGAAUUCCCGGUGUAGAGGUGAAAUUCGUAGAUAUCGGGAGGAAUACCGGUGGCGAAGGCGACCACCUGGCCAAAUACUGACGCUGAGGUGCGAAAGCGUGGGGAGCAAACAGGAUUAGAUACCCCGGUAGUC